rnacentral:rRNA from 1 species
CUCAUUAAAUCAGUUAUAGUUUAUUUGAUGGUCUCUUUUGUCUUUUUUUACCUACUUGGAUAACCGUGGUAAUUCUAGAGCUAAUACAUGCGCAAGGUCCCAAGCGCGGAGGGUAGGGCUUCACGGCUCUAUUCUUGCAUGCGUAGCGGGAUGUAUUUAUUAGGUUAAACAACCAGCAUUUUCAUCAUCUGGUGAUUCAUAGUAACUCUUUCGGAUCGCAUUCAUG